GUGGAUGCUGCCUAACAAUUCCACAUCCUAGGCAGUAAACAUUGCGCAAAGCACUGAAGAUCUGACACUGGCUGGCACAGGAAGAGAUCAUCAAAUCAUCACAACUAGUAUUUAUUUUCUUCGAUAAAUCGAGACAUCGACAUUGCCGAAUAUAUAAAUUGCGACAUCAACAUUACCAAAUCCGGCGAUUUCUGAGCAUUAGGGUGUGUGCACUCACACGGUGAGGAUAUUGUGAAGCUUCGUGAAUUGCUUAACUCUGGAAAUAUCAGAUAUAAUCCAUAGUUACAUACAGCCUCAAAACGACCUGUAAUGUAC
rnacentral:lncRNA from 1 species